GUGCUUGUUCAGUAGCACAUAUACUAAAAUUGGAACAAUACAGAGAUUAGCAUGACCCCUGCACAUGCAUGACAUUUAUGAAGUAUUCCAUAUUUUU
rnacentral:snRNA from 1 species